GCUGUUCUAUGCGUGGCCGACUUCCCUUUGAGGCAGAAAAGCUGGUCAUCGUGCUAUGGAAAGCUCUAAGUUCAGGGCUCUAGAGCCACUCUAGACAGACCACUAAGUGCAUUUAUGAAUUAAAGCCAUUCACAAAGGAAUCCUUAAUAGAGACGCCUUAAACGUUGGGGUUGGAAUGAUAUCAAUAGUGGCAUAAAAAUGCAAGUCCUCAAAACCAUUCUCGUCGGAAUGAGUGCGGGAGCUGGGAAGAGCAUCUGAAGGGGCUAACAGACCAUCUUGCAAAGUGAUAGAGACCUGACACAUCCUCAUUUUGCUUUUACUGAGAAAACAAGUCUAAGAAGCUAAUCAGUACUUUGCAAGGCCAAAAGCUCUUUCAGACUUGUAGAGUUUUGAGAAGUGAUUGAGGCCCAAUGAUUGGAAGCUGACCUUGGGCACCAGCCAAGUCAACCAGAGCUCUGCAAAAUGAAAGUACACAAAAGACUGUAGAAAGGAUGAUUCUACUCUGAAGCAAAUUAAAAUCUUGAAGUGUCCUGCGACAACAGUGAAGAUGAGAACAGAAACCAGAUGGGAGUGGGCAGCAAGACCUGAGUUCGGCAACACCAACAUGGCUUCAGUCCUGCCAACUCCAAAUGCUGCACCUGGCCAGGAGAACCAGCAACACUGUAGAGAUGCACAUAAACAGCAGACCAGCUUCCUCUCCUUCACUCUGAAUCUCAAGGGGAUCCCAUGUGGCUGUCCCAACCCUAACAAGCUCGAGUCUAUGAGAUGGAUGGGUGGGUGGAGGCUUAGGAACACGGGCGGCAGCCACACUCUAAAUGUCUUUCCACCUCUUCCACGAACGAGGAGCCAUCUGUGCACUGGAAGACGUAUUUCCGCCUCUUGCUGCGGGUGGGCUGGCAGCACUGGGGCCCACAGCCCCCAUGACAUUCCAUUAUGGGCACCUUGGAAGCUGUGGCACAUGAUGCAUAACCUUUCUGGCGGCGGAUCACCUCUCGGACUACCUCCCCCAGGCAUGGAUUCUCUGCAGAGGGCAGAAGAGGUAGGAACAGGGCAUUGGUAGCAUAGGUGGCAGGCAGAGCAUGGGCAGUUCCCAGGUAGGCUGUUCUGAAACACUUGUGAUCUGAAAGCUCUAUGUACUUAUUCAUUCAUUUGUCCCUACCCCUGUUCCACACUUACCCAUCCAUCUAUUCCACAAAUAUUAAGUUGCCUUUUCUGUGCCAGGCUCUAUAUGAGGCUUAUAACUAAGCCCUGAGGAUAUAAUGGUGGCAGAAGCAGGCGUGCUCCCUUCCUUCAGGGGACUUAAAGUCCAAACUAGACAUGGCAAACUGGUAGAAUGUGGGCUAAACCCAUCCUCAGAUGUUUUGAUAGCCCUACACAUGUUUAAAAACUAAAUUAAAUGCUAAUAUUAAAAACCAGGAGAUUUCACCAAAGAAUUUGGAUUUCUGGCUUCUUUGAAACCCAGGAGGUCUGGCCAAGCUGGGUCUGCAUCCCUGCAUUGCAAUAAUUGGCUAUAGCUGAAUGCUUUAGAUGGGGCAGGAGAUCUCCAGUUUGCCCCAAUCCCCACCAGUCCCAGUAGCCUGUCUCCCUUAGUUUAGAGUCUAGACACUAAUUACAUAAUCAUUUGAGUGAAUAUAUUUGUAAUGAGAAACUGAGGUAGAUGCUGUAGAGAAAAGGAACAUCUUCAUAUAAGAGCAUAUAGCAAAGGAACUUGAUCUGGCCCAGUGGCCAGAGAGGCUUAUCUGGGAAGCGAUGUUGGAGUUGAGAACUGAAUAAGGAGCAGGAAUUAAAGAGACAAAGAGGCUUUGGGGAUGAGCUUUUCCAGAAGUCCUAGAAAUAACUGGAGGGAGGGCAAGGGGACUCCUGUAUCUGCUUGAAUACUUGGACCCUGACCCAACUCUCCAACUCCACCCCUCCACGGUCCUUACUACACUAGGAGGACAUCUGGAGCAAGGUACUGAGGAAGGGAGUUGUGGACUUGGAGCUAGGGUCCUUGGCCGCAUGGCCUUGGCAAGUCACUUGUCAUCCCUCUUCCUCAGUUUCCUUGUCUGACACAUUUACCUGUCCUUCUUAAUAAUUCACAGGUUGUUUAGAGCAGCAGAGGAGAUCGAGAAGGAGAAAAGACUUUAUGCAUUUUAAAACUUCAGUGUUUUCAUAUGAUGCAAUGUGAGUUGUGUUAACCUUGAUACACUGCUUUAAAAUUAUGAGAUUGUUAGAAUAAGAAAGAGACUAAUGAUAAUGGGUGUGUGUGUAUAAUGUGGGAAGAAAGAGACUGCAAAUGUAGCAACAAGUUAACAAUCGAGGUGAGGGGAA